CGCUUCUAAUCUGCAGUCGACGCUUUGUGGUUCAACUGAUUUGAAGAGCUUGCUCAGAUAUGACGAUGGACAUUGCAAAGAGUGGCGAACGGGUGAGUAACACGUGGGAAACCUACCUCUUAGCAGGGGAUAACAUUUGGAAACAGAUGCUAAUACCGUAUAACAAUGACAACCGCAUGGUUGUUAUUUAAAAGAUGGUUCUGCUAUCACUAAGAGAUGGUCCCGCGGUGCAUUAGCUAGUUGGUAAGGUAAUGGCUUACCAAGGCGAUGAUGCAUAGCCGAGUUGAGAGACUGAUCGGCCACAAUGGGACUGAGACACGGCCCAUACUCCUACGGGAGGCAGCAGUAGGGAAUCUUCCACAAUGGGCGAAAGCCUGAUGGAGCAACGCCGCGUGUGUGAUGAAGGGUUUCGGCUCGUAAAACACUGUUGUAAGAGAAGAAUGACAUUGAGAGUAACUGUUCAAUGUGUGACGGUAUCUUACCAGAAAGGAACGGCUAAAUACGUGCCAGCAGCCGCGGUAAUACGUAUGUUCCAAGCGUUAUCCGGAUUUAUUGGGCGUAAAGCGAGCGCAGACGGUUAUUUAAGUCUGAAGUGAAAGCCCUCAGCUCAACUGAGGAAUUGCUUUGGAAACUGGAUGACUUGAGUGCAGUAGAGGAAAGUGGAACUCCAUGUGUAGCGGUGAAAUGCGUAGAUAUAUGGAAGAACACCAGUGGCGAAGGCGGCUUUCUGGACUGUAACUGACGUUGAGGCUCGAAAGUGUGGGUAGCAAACAGGAUUAGAUACCCUGGUAGUCCACACCGUAAACGAUGAGUGCUAGGUGUUUGAGGGUUUCCGCCCUUAAGUGCCGCAGCUAACGCAUUAAGCACUCCGCCUGGGGAGUACGACCGCAAGGUUGAAACUCAAAGGAAUUGACGGGGACCCGCACAAGCGGUGGAGCAUGUGGUUUAAUUCGAAGCAACGCGAAGAACCUUACCAGGUCUUGACAUCCCUUKRMMACUCCAGAGAUGGAGCGUUCCCUUCGGGGACAAGGUGACAGGUGGUGCAUGGUUGUCGUCAGCUCGUGUCGUGAGAUGUUGGGUUAAGUCCCGCAACGAGCGCAACCCUUAUUACUAGUUGCCAGCAUUCAGUUGGGCACUCUAGUGAGACUGCCGGUGACAAACCGGAGGAAGGUGGGGAUGACGUCAAAUCAUCAUGCCCCUUAUGACCUGGGCUACACACGUGCUACAAUGGCGUAUACAACGAGUUGCCAACCCGCGAGGGUGAGCUAAUCUCUUAAAGUACGUCUCAGUUCGGAUUGUAGGCUGCAACUCGCCUACAUGAAGUCGGAAUCGCUAGUAAUCGCGGAUCAGCACGCCGCGGUGAAUACGUUCCCGGGUCUUGUACACACCGCCCGUCACACCAUGAGAGUUUGUAACACCCAAAGCCGGUGGGGUAACCUUCGGGAGCCACCGUUUAACCAGAAC
rnacentral:rRNA from 1 species